rnacentral:lncRNA from 1 species
UACGCUCCCGUAAAUUAAACUUAACCAUGUUUCGGUGUAUUAGCAAAUAACCAUUUCCCUACAAGCAUUCCCAACACUAAGCCCCCGUUUGUUUUCCGUUAUUUGCCUAUUAAAAUGAAAAAUAUGAUUGUUAUCCAUCACAUCAAACCACCAUAUUUGACUUCUAUCUCUUGUGUGGGACCCGUAACGACUAUAUUUUUCAUUCUCAUUUUUACAUUAAUGUGUAUCAAACAGGGCCUUAUACCAAACCCCAACAUAGAGACCAAAUUCGUUUCAACUUUUGGUUUCAAUUUUUUUUAAUGUUUUAAGUAAUUAUAAUUUGGCUUUCUCCACCGUCGUCCCCACCUUUUGAUUUUCCGUUUUUCUCUUCUUCAUUUUUUUCCCUUUUUUAUGG